UAGUGGCUGACAUGUGAGGUGGGGAGUGUUGGUAGAGGCUGCUCUUGGCUGCAGGAAGUUUCAACAGGCCUCACAGGUUUGGAAGUGAGAAGGGAAGUCAUCUGAAAACAGGACCCUGUCCAGCAGCUUAUCAAGGAUGCAUAUGUGGUGGAAAGUUUUACCUCGCCUUGAAGUUUGCAGCUUUAUUAGAAAGUCCUACACUGGGACAACCUGCAAAAUGUAGCCUUUCCUCAGAACUGCUUUGUCACGUGCUAAGCUUCCUGAAGUUGCUUGACAGCCUACUGGGAAAGAUGCAGCAGUAUUCGCUGGAAAAACACAGAAAAAUGAUGGGAAUACUUCUCAAUCAUUUUAAUGAAACUCCUACAUGUGCUAUUCAUAAAAUGGCAUAACUUUAGGAAUUUAUAGAGGUCUUUAUCAAACACUUUCCUCUUUGGCCAGCAAUAGUUGUGUCAUUCCAGGAUAAUCUAUUUUAAUUAUGGGAAGUUUAAGGGCAAAGAUAGGUUAGUAGCUUGUUUUAUUUUACAGAGUGUGUGUAUUGCUAUGUCAUAAAAUACUCCCUUGUAGUCCAUUACUCUGUUGAGUAUGCAUAACAUACUCAUAUGACAGCAUGAAAUAGAUUUUUUUCUUGGUCUGCUUUCACCUCCUUUGCCCUGAAGCUCCCCCUGAAUCAGCACCAGACCCUACUAACUAAAGUUAUCCUCCUCCACUUAGCAUUGCUCUAUUUGCUUUCACAGGGUUGAUUUUUGAGAAAGUACAAGUGAAGGUUGCCUCUCUUACCCCGAGUUGUUUUUUUUUUUGUUUUUUUUUUUCUCUGUUCACUGUGGCCAGAUGGUGGGAUAGCACCUUGUGGUGGGUGACAGUGAAAGAAUAAGCUUCAGAUGAAGAUUAAAUGUGCAACUCUUGCUGAGGAUUUAGCUCUUUACUGGAUUUUAUGUAGACACUGAAGUCCUUUACUCAUAUUUUAUUCAGUUAAUGUUCCCUGGAUGAGAAAGGACUGUGUCCAACAUUUAGGAGCUGUCUCUAUAAUAAGGAAAGAAGUAUUCUGAUGUGUGUGAUGCCAGUGAAACAUUGCAGGCAGUGGGUGUAGAGAGGCAGCUAGUCAAAUAAUUGUGGAGAGAGGUCUCCUUUUUGCCUGGCCACUCUGCUGCCACUCAGCCUAACUUUUGCAGGCACACCUUUGACUCUCCAUUGGAAGCUUUCAUUCAGCCCUCCAUUCAAACCCAUCUCUGCCUCAUUCAAUCAAAUAAACACUCCUUGUGAAUAAAAGACAUACAAAAGAAUACAUGUGCAAGUAGUUCUAUACUGAGCUGGUAGUCUCAGUCUUGCUUUAGCUACCUGGUGGAGGGACUAAUAAGAAAUCAAAUAAAACUCUUGGCAAAUCUUC